AUUAUCAACUGUGACUCGCUGACAGCAGGACCCGUGCAUCCCCCAAGAUGGUCUCCAGAACUGUGAUGAUGAUGGUGUUGGUGGUGGCCGCUGUCCUGGUGGCGGCCCUGGCCGGUCCCGCGGCAGCCCCGGUAGGUCACCCGGGAUAUCUUGGCUACGGUGGAUAUGGUGGUUAUGGCGGAUAUGGUGGCUAUGGUGGCUUUAGACGUGGAUUUGGUGGAUAUGGUGGAUUUGGACGUGGAUAUGGAUUUGGAUAUGGACGCUGAGACCAAAUGUGAUCAUCUGGGUGUAUAUUUAUAUAUCUUAUAAAACAUUUCAUGUUUUCCAAAAAUGAAAACAUUUUAUAAUAAAAUAUAUUCUGUUUUUA